GUGGGGAAUAUUGGACAAUGGGCGCAAGCCUGAUCCAGCCAUGCCGCGUGAGUGAUGAAGGCCCUAGGGUUGUAAAGCUCUUUCACCGGUGAAGAUAAUGACGGUAACCGGAGAAGAAGCACCGGCUAACUUCGUGCCAGCAGCCGCGGUAAUAAGAAGGGGGCUAGCGUUGUUCGGAAUUACUGGGCGUACAGCGCACGUAGGCGGGUAUUUAAGUCAGGGGUGAAAUCCCGGAGCUCAACUCCGGAACUGCCUUUGAUACUGGGUACCUAGAGUAUGGAAGAGGUAAGUGGAAUUCCGAGUGUAGAGGUGAAAUUCGUAGAUAUUCGGAGGAACACCAGUGGCGAAGGCGACUACCUGGACUGAUACUGACACUGAGGUGCGAAAGCGUGGGGAGCAAACAGGAUUAGAUACCCGUGUAGUCC
rnacentral:rRNA from 1 species